UGGGGAAUAUUGCACAAUGGGGGAAACCCUGAUGCAGCAACGCCGCGUGAGUGAAGAAGUAUUUCGGUAUGUAAAGCUCUAUCAGCAGGGAAGAAGAUGACGGUACCUGAUUAAGAAGCCCCGGCUAACUACGUGCCAGCAGCCGCGGUAAUACGUAGGGGGCAAGCGUUAUCCGGAUUUACUGGGUGUAAAGGGAGCGCAGACGGCAGUGCAAGUCUGGAGUGAAAGCCCGGGGCCCAACCCCGGAACUGCUCUGGAAACUGUGCGGCUAGAGUACUGGAGGGGCAGGCGGAAUUCCUAGUG
rnacentral:rRNA from 1 species